rnacentral:rRNA from 1 species
AGUGAACGCUGGCGGUAGGCCUAACACAUGCAAGUCGAACGGCAGCACAGUAAGCUCUUGCUCUUACGGUUUGCGACUGGCGGACGUGUGAGGAAUACAUCGCAAUCUUCUUUUUCUUGGGUGAUAACGUAGGGAAACUUACGCUAAUACCGCAUACGUCCUACGGCUGAAAUCAUUGGAUCUUCUCACCUUUCGCGUUUCUUUUAGCCGAUUUCGGAUUAGCUAGUUGGCUGGGUAAAGGCCCACCAAGGCGACGAUCCGUAGCUGGUCUGAGAGGGUGAUCAGCCACACUGGAACUGAGACACGGUCCAGACUCCUACGGGAGGCAGCAGUGGGGAAUAUUGGACAAUGGGCGAAAGCCUGAUGCAGCAAUACCGCGUGGGUGAAGAAGGCCUUCGGGUUGUAAAGCCCUUUUGUUGGGAAAGAAAAGAAGCAGGAUAAAACACGGAUGUUGUGACGGUACCGAAAGAAUAAGCAACGGCUAACUACGUG